CCUGGUAGUCCACGCAGUAAACGAUGAAUGCUAAUUGUCCGGGGCGAGUGAGCUCUGGGUGAUACAGCGAAAGCGUUAAGCAUUCCACCUGGGGAGUACGCCGGCAACGGUGAAACUCAAAGGAAUUGACGGGGGCCCGCACAAGCGGAGGAACAUGUGGUUUAAUUCGAUGAUACGCGAGGAACCUUACCCGGGCUCAAACGUAGCAGGAAUAAUUGAGAAAUCAGUUAGUUCUUCGGAACCUGCUACGAGGUGCUGCAUGGUUGUCGUCAGCUCGUGCCGUGAGGUGUCGGCUUAAGUGCCAUAACGAGCGCAACCCCCAUCGACAGUUGCUAACAGGUCAGGCUGAGGACUCUGUCGAGACUGCCGGCGCAAGCUGUGAGGAAGGCGGGGAUGACGUCAAAUCAGCACGGCCCUUACGUCCGGGGCGACACACGUGUUACAAUGGCGGGGACAGCGGGAAGCCACCUGGCGACAGGGAGCGGAACCCGAAACCCCGUCUCAGUUCGGAUUGGAGUCUGCAACCCGACUCCAUGAAGCUGGAUUCGCUAGUAAUCGCGCAUCAGCCACGGCGCGGUGAAUACGUUCCCGGGCCUUGUACACACCGCCCGUCAAGCCAUGGAAGCCGGGAGUGCCUGAAGUUCGUGACCGCAAGGAGCGACCUAGGGUAAAACCGGUGACUGGGGCUAAGUCGUAACAAGGUAGCCGUACCGGAAGGUGCGGCUGGAUCACCUC
rnacentral:rRNA from 1 species